GCGGAUGUAGCCAAGUGGAUUAAGGCAGUGGAUUGUGAAUUCACCACGCGCGGGUUCGAUCCCCGUCGUUCGCC
rnacentral:tRNA from 1 species